AAGGAAUAUUGCUCAAUGGGAGAAAUCCUGAAGCAGCAACGCCGCGUGGAGGAUGAAGGGUCUAUGACUUGUAAACUCCUGUAAAGAAGGAAAAAAUUCCCAUUAGAUGGGAGAUGAUGGUACUUCUGGAGUAAGCCCCGGCUAACUACGUGCCAGCAGCCGCGGUAAUACGUAGGGGGCAAGCGUUGUCCGGAUUUACUGGGUGUAAAGGGUGCUCAGGCGGAUUUGUAAGUCAGAGGUGAAAUCUUACAGCUUAACUGUGAAACUGCCUUUGAUACUGCAAGCCUAGAGUAUGGAAGAGAGUGAUGGAAUAUCUGGUGUAGCAGUGAGAUGCGUAGAUAUCAGAUAGAACACCAAUGGCGAAGGCAGUCACUUGGUCCAUUACUGACGCUAAAGCACGAAAGCGUGGGUAGCAAACA
rnacentral:rRNA from 1 species